CGGAUCAAGCAAGCACCUUGUUACGCAGAAAUGCGCACGGUGUAGCCCAUACGCACGCACAGUCCGAUACGGCCAAUAAGGGCACCGCAGCGUUGCUGGGCGAGAGUUGGCCGGCAGCCAGGAAGAAGUAUGCUGGCACAACGGAUCUGGUCUCCAGUGCGUCUCCUCGGCCCAGUUAACCUUGCGCCUGCUCUACGCAUGGCAGCCCUCAUUCCCCAGCACAGCCCAGUUUGCCCUGUGCCAGUGCUCCGCCUGUGCCGGGCUACAGUGACUAUCCAGCCAGGAUGGGUUGUGCAGGCCGUGCACUCCAGACCUCCAGUACAUCUCCAAGACCCAGUAUACCCUGUGCCUGUUCCUGCUCUCCGCACUAGCCCUGAGGUGCGUGUUACUAGUCUGGCACCUCCUAUGCCAGUCCCACGCAUCAGGCCUCCAGUGCGCCUGCCCAGUCCAGGGCGUCCUGUUCCUGCUCUCCGCACUUGCCCUGAGGUGCGUGUUAAUAGUCUGGCGCCUCCAAAGCCAGCCCCACGCAUCAGACCUCCAGUGUGCCUGCCCAGUCCAGUACAUCCUGUUCCUGCUCCCCGCACGAGCCCUGAGGUGCGUGUUAAUAGUCUGGCGCCUCCAAAGCCAGCCCCACGCAUCAGACCUCCAGUGUGCCUGCCCAGUCCAGUACAUCCUGUUCCUGCUCCCCGCACGAGCCCUGAGGUGCGUGUUACUAGUCUGGCGCCUCCUAUGCC
rnacentral:lncRNA from 1 species